rnacentral:lncRNA from 1 species
GUGUGGAAGUGCAGGCGUACGCGUAUCGUCAACUGCGAGUCGAAUCUUACGCGUCUAUGACGAUACGCUCUGUGUGCAGAGGCCCUAAGAUAGGAAUGAAAUGUGCCAGCCACUUAAUAAUCACAAAUGAUCAGCUGGUUGGUUGUGCUGAAAAUGUGCUCUGUUUUCAUCCUGGAGGAUCAAAUCCCACACUUAGUUUUUUUCAGGAGGAAUCUGUGUUACUGUGUGAUAAAGCAUUCACUUGGAGGAUCUGAUUCUUACAUUUCUUCUAAUUUUUCAGAAGUCCAGGCUCAUCCUGUUGAACCCUAUCUUGUAACCUUCCAUCUGAUGCUUGUAUUGCAUUGACAGUGGGGUUUAACAAUGCAAUGCAUUGCUUGCGUUGUUAAACUCCAUCUUCCAUCUGAUGACUGACUCCACCAAGAGUGUGCCUGGGUAUUGUAAUGCCCACAAUAAACAUUGCAAUAUCGUAUCCUUUAAUACAAUUAAUAUUUAAAUUGUUAAAAUUCAAUGUGUGUUGAUAUUUAAACCCAUUCCUAACUUUUAAAAAUUAAAAAAAAUAACAAAUAGCA